rnacentral:rRNA from 1 species
GGGUUGUGAGGUUAAGCGACUAAGCGUACACGGUGGAUGCCCUGGCAGUCAGAGGCGAUGAAGGGCGUGCUAAUCUGCGAUAAGCGCCGGUAAGGUGAUAUGAACCGUUAUAACCGGCGAUACCCGAAUGGGGAAACCCAGUGUGAUUCGUCACACUAUCAUUAACUGAAUCCAUAGGUUAAUGAGGCGAACCGGGGGAACUGAAACAUCUAAGUACCCCGAGGAAAAGAAAUCAACCGAGAUUCCCCCAGUAGCGGCGAGCGAACGGGGAGGAGCCCAGAGCCUGAAUCAGCAUGUGUGUUAGUGGAAGCGUCUGGAAAGGCGCGCGAUACAGGGUGACAGCCCCGUACACAAAAGCGCAUGUGCUGUGAGCUCGAUGAGUAGGGCGGGACACGUGGUAUCCUGUCUGAAUAUGGGGGGACCAUCCUCCAAGGCUAAAUACUCCUGACUGACCGAUAGUGAACCAGUACCGUGAGGGAAAGGCGAAAAGAACCCCGGCGAGGGGAGUGAAAAAGAACCUGAAACCGUGUACGUACAAGCAGUGGGAGCACCCUUCGGGGUGUGACUGCGUACCUUUUGUAUAAUGGGUCAGCGACUUAUAUUCUGUAGCAAGGUUAACCGAAUAGGGGAGCCGGAGGGAAACCGAGUCUUAACCGGGCGUUAAGUUGCAGGGUAUAGACCCGAAACCCGGUGAUCUAGCCAUGGGCAGGUUGAAGGUUGGGUAACACUAACUGGAGGACCGAACCGACUAAUGUUGAAAAAUUAGCGGAUGACCUGUGGCUGGGGGUGAAAGGCCAAUCAAACCGGGAGAUAGCUGGUUCUCCCCGAAAGCUAUUUAGGUAGCGCCUCGUGAAUUCAUCUCCGGGGGUAGAGCACUGUUUCGGCUAGGGGGCCAUCCCGGCUUACCAACCCGAUGCAAACUGCGAAUACCGGAGAAUGUUAUCACGGGAGACACACGGCGGGUGCUAACGUCCGUCGUGAAGAGGGAAACAACCCAGACCGCCAGCUAAGGUCCCAAAGUCAUGGUUAAGUGGGAAACGAUGUGGGAAGGCCCAGACAGCCAGGAUGUUGGCUUAGAAGCAGCCAUCAUUUAAAGAAAGCGUAAUAGCUCACUGGUCGAGUCGGCCUGCGCGGAAGAUGUAACGGGGCUAAACCAUGCACCGAAGCUGCGGCAGCGACACUGUGUGUUGUUGGGUAGGGGAGCGUUCUGUAAGCCUGUGAAGGUGGCCUGUGAGGGUUG